rnacentral:rRNA from 1 species
CGUCCCCCGCGCCCCCCAAAUCUUUCCCUUCCACUCCGGGACACCCCCCUCUCGUUUCACAUCGCAUUCAUCGCCCCAUCCGCUCUAUCCCCCAGGCCUUUACAGCUACGUCGGUCUAGCCUCGUGCGCGCGGUGACGCCUCGAUCCUCCAGCAACUACUAGUACCAGUUGAGUUUUCCUCGCAGUCCUCCUCCUGCUCGGGAGCGCGAGGGAGAUCAUUACCCAUGGGGAGGGCGCCGUGCUGCGACAGGAAGGGUCUCAAGAAGGGGCCGUGGACGCCGGAGGAGGACAAACAGCUCGUCGACUUCAUCCAGGCCAACGGCCAUGGCAGCUGGCGCCUGCUCCCCAAGCUCGCAGAGCUGAACCGGUGCGGCAAGAGCUGCCGGCUACGGUGGACGAACUACCUGCGGCCGGACAUCAAGCGCGGGCCCUUCACCGCCGAGGAGCAGAAGUCCAUCGUCCAGCUCCACGGCAUCGUCGGCAACAAGUGGUCCAUGAUCGCGGCGCAGCUGCCCGGCCGGACGGACAACGAGAUCAAGAACUACUGGAACACGCACCUCAAGAAGCAGCUCCGCCGGAUGGGCCUCGACGAGCCCCCGCCCGGCCCGACCGCCGGCUGCCCCGCCGCGCGCCACAUGGCGCAGUGGGAGACCGCGCGCCUGGAGGCCGAGGCGCGCCUCUCGCUCCUCUCCUCCUCCGGCGCCGCGGCGACGGCCACCACCUCCGGCUCCGCGUCCUCUUCAUCGACGGCGGCCCCCGGCGCCGCGGUGGCCGAUCACGCGAAGCCCGCCGACGUCUUCCUGCGCCUGUGGAACUCCGAUAUCGGGAGCUCUUUCCGCAAGGCGGCCGCGCCGGUGUCCGUCAAGGAGGAGGAGGCUGUGGUGCCGGGGGACGACUCCUCGGCGGCGUCCAACAAGAUGGACUCUGCGGCGGCGGCGGCCGAGUACCAGAUGUUCCUCGACUUCGCCGGCGAGGAGCUGGGCCUGUUCCACGGCCGGCACGGCGGCUUCUCGCUGUUCCCGCCGCUCGACGUGCUCGCUGAGGCGUCCCUGGACACGGCGUUCUAGCAAGACCGUUAGCGCGGGGGUCGCGUACGUACAUACGUAGUGGUAUAAAGUACCUCUAACGUACGCCUGUGCGCAUGUAUGUAUGCUGUAUAUGUUUUGCNNNNNNNNNNNNNNGGGCGUGUGGCGCGCGUGGGGAAGUAGCUACUACGUGUGUCAAGAUGCAUGAGAGAUUUUUGGUAGUA